rnacentral:rRNA from 1 species
CAGCACCUCAGGUGGUCAGGAUGAUUAUUGGGCCUAAAGCAUCCGUAGCCGGCGCUGUAAGUUUUCGGUUAAAUCUGUACGCUCAACGUACAGGCUGCCGGGAAUACUGCAGCGCUAGGGAGUGGGAGAGGUAGACGGUACUCGGUAGGAAGGGGUAAAAUCCUUUGAUCUAUUGAUGACCACCUGUGGCGAAGGCGGUCUACCAGAACACGUCCGACGGUGAGGGAUGAAAGCUGGGGGAGCAAACCGGAUUAGAGACCCGAGUAGUCC